UAGGGGGCUGCGGAGGGAUCAUUACCGAGUUUACAACUCCCAAACCCCUGUGAACAUACCUUAAUGUUGCCUCGGCGGAUCAGCCCGCGCCCCGUAAAACGGGACGGCCCGCCAGAGGACCCAAACUCUAAUGUUUCUUAUUGUAACUUCUGAGUAAAACAAACAAAUAAAUCAAAACUUUCAACAACGGAUCUCUUGGUUCUGGCAUCGAUGAAGAACGCAGCAAAAUGCGAUAAGUAAUGUGAAUUGCAGAAUUCAGUGAAUCAUCGAAUCUUUGAACGCACAUUGCGCCCGCUGGUAUUCCGGCGGGCAUGCCUGUUCGAGCGUCAUUUCAACCCUCAAGCCCCCGGGUUUGGUGUUGGGGAUCGGCUCUGCCCUUCUGGGCGGUGCCGCCCCCGAAAUACAUUGGCGGUCUCGCUGCAGCCUCCAUUGCGUAGUAGCUAACACCUCGCAACUGGAACGCGGCGCGGCCAUGCCGUAAAACCCCAACUUCUGAAUGUGACCU
rnacentral:rRNA from 1 species